UACGAAGGGGGCUAGCGUUGCUCGGAAUCACUGGGCGUAAAGCGCGCGUAGGCGGCCGGUCAAGUGCGGCGUGAAAGUCCUGGGCUCAACCCGGGGACGGCGCUGCGGACUGUUCGGCUGGAGUCCGGAAGAGGGUGGUGGAAUUCCGAGUGUAGAGGUGAAAUGCGUAGAGAUGCGGAAGAACACCAGUGGCGAAGGCGGUCAACUGGCCUCAUAUUGACACUCAGACGCGAAGGCAUGGGUAGCGAACGGG
rnacentral:rRNA from 1 species